GCCACCAGCAGCAACAGGAGGAAAGUCAAGCCCCCGAUGUUGACCAUAUUCGUGCCCCUGUAUUUAGUUGAUCUGGUUUGUUCUUCUGGAUGUAUAGCUUUCUUUCACAGCUUGGUUGAAGAGCACAUUCGGUGUGCCCGCCAUGACUGCUUGUUCUGCUCGUUGUUUCCUUCGAUUGUUGCCAUGGCCCUCGGUCCUUCGGUUGCUCCGAUCUACGAGGUUGCUGCUGGUUUUUGGGUUCUUGGCUGCAUUUCAUCUUUACCCACCGUGGUGAGCUGCCACUUCACU